CCUACGGGAGGCUGCAGUAGGGAAUAUUGCUCAAUGGGGGAAACCCUGAAGCAGCAACGCCGCGUGGAGGAUGAAGGUUUUCGGAUUGUAAACUCCUGUUGUUAGAGAAGAUAAUGACGGUAUCUAACGAAUAAGCACCUGCUUACUCCGUGCCAGCAGCCGCUGUAAUACGGUGGGUGCAAGCGUUCCUCGGAAUCACUGUGCGUAAAGAGCGCGUAGGGGGGAUAGCAAGUCAGAUGGGAAAUCCUAUUGAGUAAACAUAGAACUGCAUUUGACACUGGUAUUCUAGAGUAUGGGAGAGGUAGGUGGAAUUCUAGGUGUAGGGGUGAAAUCCGUAGAGAUCAAGAGGAAUACUCAUUGCGAAGGCGACCUGCUAGAACAUAACUGACGCUGAUGCGCGAAAGCGCGGGGAGCAAACAGGAUUAGAUACCCGGGUAGUC
rnacentral:rRNA from 1 species